UACGUAGGGGGCUAGCGUUGUCCGGAAUCAUUGGGCGUAAAGCGCGUGUAGGCGGCCCGGUAAGUCCGCUGUGAAAGUCGGGGGCUCAACCCUCGGAUGCCGGUGGAUACUGUCGGGCUUGAGUGCGGAAGAGGCGAGUGGAAUUCCUGGUGUAGCGGUGAAAUGCGCAGAUAUCAGGAGGAACACCAAUUGCGAGGGCAGCUCGCUGGGACGUUACUGACGCUGAGACGCGAAAGCGUGGGGAGCAAACAGG
rnacentral:rRNA from 1 species